CGAGAGAAAGCACCGCCUCCGCAUGCUUGGCGUGAGGGCUAGCAAGUGCUUUCCUCCUGCCCCUGUGGUGCCAAGUGUGGGCGGGACAGAAGAAGAAAAAUAUCACUAAAGCUGAAGAGACCUGAGUGAUCAGGGUUUGGAACCCUGAAGUCACAAGGCUUCCUAUGGAGACCACUCUGGACUAGGUUACGCUCUCUCUGAGGUCAAGGGUCACCUGAUUGAUGCACCUCAUUUCUGGACCUGUGAAAGGCAGUCCCCAGAUGGCCCAGGUCCCACGAAGACAGGGGAAGAAAAUAAUGCUGGAAAUGGUUUGAGACACAGAUCCUGAUGGACCAAAGGAAGAUACAGAGCUCUUGAGCAGUGUCCGGCUGGCAUAGAACAAUGAACUAUUUAACUCCAUACAAAAGAAAGCCAAGUGUGAGUAUGUCAGCCCAUGACUCAAGGAAAGGCCCCUGCGAGAGACCAUCUCAGAAACAAUGAGGAACUUGUCCCUUCCAGGAGAGGCUGAGGGCCUUCCAGGAGUGGUGAGUCCCAGCAUAGGCUGUCGAGGCAACAGAGAAGGACUUGGUCCUUCUUCACUAUUCUAUUGGAAUUUUCCCACUGCUAAGAAAAUGGCCCAAGGAUCUCAUCCUGAGGAGGCAACUGCUGCAUUGAAAAUUGACAUUCAGAAGAGCAGGGGUGGGAGGACAAGUCUGUGAAGCGAAUUCUGAGAAAUUCCCAAACCUGGGUCAGUGGUGGGCAUAAGUACUAACUGAAUCUACAAUUGCACUUAUAGGGAACUGAAAUAUUGUUCCACCGUUCAAGAUUCCAUAGUCUAGAAUCAGGACACUUGAAUAUUUGAUAAAAGAUAAUCAGUAGGUUGAUAUUCUUUAACUCUUAUGAACAAUUUCCCUUUAAUCAAUAUGUGAGUUCAGAUGGAAAAUAGUACUGAAAGAUAUGUAAGUCAUAAAUUCAUAUAUAUUCACAAUGGAGGAGUGAAAAAUCUUCACAUUAAUAGGAAAUGCCAAGCAUCUUGAAAAGUUUCUCAAUCUAAAUAGUAGGGCUUCCGUAUUUAAAAGUAUCACUUGUAACUUUUAAAACCACAGUUUCUAUUCUCCGUAUCUCUCACUUACCCAGACACUGUCCUAUGCCAUGGAACUAGCAUGUAGUAUCAGUCCUCCAGAAUUCUGUAGUAAGCUGUUUAGAUUCUCUUUCUUGACCUUUAGAAUCACAGAGAAGGCCUUACACAUAGCAGCCAUUUGAUAAAUAUGUAUGAAUGACUAGAAUCUUUAUCACCAUCAUAAACUUGUCAGUAUUUGGUUUCAUCCCUAGAUGGCUGUAUUUAGUUUGAGUGUGUACAGGGUCCUAAAGAAUGGGAUUAUUCCACAGAAGUCUCAGUGCUUGGCCAGGCAUGGUCUCUGAUCUUAUAGACAGAUGCUGAGUAGCAAGGAGUUUGGACACAGAAUCAGAAGAAUGACCACUGUUAAUAACUGAGAGGUGGUCCGGUCUAGGAAGCAGAAGGUGGUAUAGGAAAGACUCAGCAAUAAGUUAUAUUCUAGGCACGCAGCUGGCAACAAGAUUUAAGACAAUAAGAAUGUGUCCCAAGAGGGAAAACUCAGGAUGAAAAUCCCUAUGGCUUGCUGAUACAAACAUUAAAAGGCAAGCCACAGACAGGGAGAAAAUAUUCCAAAAAAGGAUUUAAAAAACAUAUCUAGAAUACAUAAAGAAUUCUUAUAAUUCAAUACUAAGAAGAUAUGCAACCCAGUUUAAAAAAUGAGCAAAAGAUUUGAAUAGAGAUUUCACCAAAAAGGACAUACAGAUUGCAUUUAAGUACAUAAAAAGAUACCCAUUAGUCAUCAUGAGAACCACAAUGAGAUACUACUCCACCCACUAGAAUGUCAAAAAUUAAAAAGACUGACUUGCCAACUCUUGGCUAAAUCGUGAAGAAACUGGAACACUUACGCACUGCUGGUGGGAAUGUAAAAUGGCACAACCACUUUGGAAAACAGUUCAGCAGUUUCUUACGUAGUUAAACAUACACGUAACCAUAUAACCUAGUCAUUCUACUCCUAGGUAGAGCAAUGUAAUUAUACAACCACACAAAAGUUUGGAGGCCAAUGCCCAUAGCAGCUUUAUUAAUAAUAACCAAAACUAGAAACGAUCCAAAUGUCCAUCAAUAGGUGAAUGAAUAAACAAAUUGUAGCAUAUUCAUACAGUGAAAUACUAAACAAUAAAAAAGAAUUAACUUUUGAUAUGUUUGACAUGAAUGAAUCUUAAAAUAAUUAUGCUGAGGGAAAGCCAGACAAAAAAAAGAGUACAUGUUAUAUGAUUCAUUUAUAUAAAAUUCUAAAAAAUGCAAACUUAUCAAAAUAAAGCAGAUCAAGUGGUUGCCUGGAGAUGGAGAGGGAUUACAAAGAGAUACGAGGAAACUUUUGGAGAUGAUGGAAUGUUCAUUGCCUUGGCUGUGUUGAUGGUGGUACCAAGUGUAUACAUAUGUCAAAACUCAUCAAAUUUUAUACUUUACACAUGUGCAGUUUAUUGUACUUCAGUUGUACAUCAGUGUAACCAAAAAACCCAACCCAUUGCCAUCGAGUCGAGUCUG